AGUGAACGCUGGCGGUAGGCCUAGCACAUGCAAGUCGGACGGCAGCACAGUAAGAGCUUGCUCUUACGGGUGGCGAGUGGCGGACGGGUGAGGAAUACAUCGGAAUCUACUUUUUCGUGGGGGAUAACGUAGGGAAACUUACGCUAAUACCGCAUACGACCUACGGGUGAAAGCAGGGGAUCUUCGGACCUUGCGCGAUUGAAUGAGCCGAUGUCGGAUUAGCUAGUUGGCGGGGUAAAGGCCCACCAAGGCGACGAUCCGUAGCUGGUCUGAGAGGAUGAUCAGCCACACUGGAACUGAGACACGGUCCAGACUCCUACGGGAGGCAGCAGUGGGGAAUAUUGGACAAUGGGCGCAAGCCUGAUCCAGCCAUACCGCGUGGGUGAAGAAGGCCUUCGGGUUGUAAAGCCCUUUUGUUGGGAAAGAAAAGCAGCAGGUUAAUACCCCGCUGUUCUGACGGUACCCAAAGAAUAAGCACCGGCUAACUUCGUG
rnacentral:rRNA from 1 species